UAACCUGCCCAAGAGACUGGGAUAACACCUGGAAACAGAUGCUAAUACCGGAUAACAACACUAGACGCAUGUCUAGAGUUUGAAAGAUGGUUCUGCUAUCACUCUUGGAUGGACCUGCGGUGCAUUAGCUAGUUGGUAAGGUAACGGCUUACCAAGGCAAUGAUGCAUAGCCGAGUUGAGAGACUGAUCGGCCACAUUGGGACUGAGACACGGCCCAAACUCCUACGGGAGGCAGCAGUAGGGAAUCUUCCACAAUGGACGAAAGUCUGAUGGAGCAACGCCGCGUGAGUGAAGAAGGGUUUCGGCUCGUAAAGCUCUGUUGGUAGUGAAGAAAGAUAGAGGUAGUAACUGGCCUUUAUUUGACGGUAAUUACUUAGAAAGUCACGGCUAACUACGUGCCAGCAGCCGCGGUAAUACGUAGGUGGCAAGCGUUGUCCGGAUUUAUUGGGCGUAAAGCGAGUGCAGGCGGUUCAAUAAGUCUGAUGUGAAAGCCUUCGGCUCAACCGGAGAAUUGCAUCAGAAACUGUUGAACUUGAGUGCAGAAGAGGAGAGUGGAACUCCAUGUGUAGCGGUGGAAUGCGUAUAUAUAUGGAAGAACACCA
rnacentral:rRNA from 1 species